CGCGGGGUAGAGCAGCUCGGUAGCUCGUCGGGCUCAUAACCCGGAGGCCGGAGGUUCAAAUCCUCCCCCCGCAACCA
rnacentral:tRNA from 1 species